UACGUAGGGGGCAAGCGUUGUCCGGAUUUAUUGGGCGUAAAGAGCGUGUAGGCGGCCAAGCAGGUCAGCUGUGAAAACUCGAGGCUCAACCUCGAGACGUCGGUUGAAACCGCUUGGCUAGAGUCCGGAAGAGGAGAGUGGAAUUCCCGGUGUAGCGGUGAAAUGCGCAGAUAUCAGGAGGAACACCGGUGGCGAAGGCGGUUCUCUGGGAAUGUCCUGACGCUGAGGAGCGAAAGUGUGGGGAGCGAACAGG
rnacentral:rRNA from 1 species